rnacentral:rRNA from 3 species
AAACGACUCUCGGCAACGGAUAUCCCGGCUCUCGCAUCGAUGAAGAACGUAGCGAAAUGCGAUACUUGGUGUGAAUUGCAGAAUCCCGUGAACCAUCGAGUCUUUGAACGCAAGUUGCGCCCGAGGCCUCGGCUAAGGGCACGUCUGCCUGGGUGUCACCU